rnacentral:rRNA from 1 species
CAAUAGCGUAUAUUAAAGUUGUUGCAGUUAAAAAGCUCGUAGUUGGAUUUCUGGUGGGAGCGAUCGGUCUGGCGCUUAGCGCGAGUACUUGCAUCGUCUCCGGCCAUCCUUGGGGAGAGUCUGUCUGGCAUUAGGUUGUCGGGCAGAGGAUCCUCAUCGUUUACUGUGAAAAAAUUAGAGUGUUCAAAGCAGGCUUAUGGCGUUGAAUAUAUUAGCAUGGAAUAAUAAGAUAGGACUUUGGUACUAUUUUGUUGGUUUGCGCACCAAAGUAAUGAUUAAUAGGGACAGUUGGGGGUAUUCGUAUUCCGUUGUCAGAGGUGAAAUUCUUGGAUUUACGGAAGACGAACUACUGCGAAAGCAUUUACCAAGGAUGUUUUCAUUAA